rnacentral:misc_RNA from 1 species
AAAAAAACGAGGCAGAGCUGUUUUCUGCAAUUUCUUGCAUUAAUGGCUUGAAUCCUUGCACUGAGGGGUUUGAACUCGGACACUAAUAAUGAAAUCAGUAGACAGGAAAUAUAUUCGAAUCAAAAGCUCUCCAAAAAUUCUUUUUCCAAAUCAUCCAAUAAUACAUCCUCCUUUUAUCUCAGUGCACUGCCAUACCAGCUAGAUAUGGCAGCAAUACUGACAUACUGAACUUUUUUGUGCCCAUUUUAUUUAAACUUUGAUUUUAUCCUAGGUAGCACUGCCAUACUUACCCUUUCUAGCCAUUCUUAAUAUGCUAUUGUAGUUUCCUUGUCUAUUUCCCCAUCUCAUGUCAGUGCUACCUAGGAUAAGUAUGGGUAGAAAGGAUAAUUUUGGUAGGUACUGUUUUGGAUAAACAAUAAUGCUUUUUUGUUUAGAAGGUUGAUUGGUUUCCUAGAAUUUAGUGUUAACCUCAUCAAGUUUUAGGCUGUUUCCAUUCUAUUUU